GUCUCAGCAAGAGUUUGACUCCAGAAGGGCUCAAGCUCCCACCCACCAUUCUGCUUGCUCAGAAGUUGAGGGACCCUUCCUGCUCCUAGAAGCACGCCUGGCCUGGACGGCUGCCCUAGGACCGUGGCGAGAGGAAGCAGACGCCGCUCUGAGCGCGUACCGCACAGUGGCCAGGCCGAGGGACUGCGCGUAGGAAGAGCGGCAAGCCCAGAAAAUAGACCCGCGAGGGGAGAGAGCAUGGUAGCCGCGCUGCGCCCCCACACCCUCCGUGUUCGCGGUUUUGCGCGUGCCCACCAGGAAGAGCCAGAGCACGAGGUACAUCGAGAGAGGAGAUGGCGACCUGCUGAUUUCUGGAUCAAUCCUGGAAUCCUAUCAUUCACAUUGGCAGAAACCUCAGCCCCAUCCUUGGCAAACGAGAGCCAGCGCUGCAGGGAGGGGAUGUACCCACCUGGGCUUGGGGCUGGUCCUGUCCUCUCCUCCACUUCUCCUGGCCUUGUCACCUUUUCACUUUGUCCUGCCCACCUUUCCCAGUCUUCUUUUCUUCCUCCUGAAGAUGAUUGGUAAAUACUGAAGCAUGCACUCCACCCUCCCAGAGGGCUCCCUCCCAUCUCCAGGA
rnacentral:lncRNA from 1 species